AUUGAACGCUGGCGACGGGCCUAACACAUGCAAGUCGAACGGUAGCACAGAGGAGCUUGCUCCUUGGGUGACGAGUGGCGGACGGGUGAGUAAUGUCUGGGAAACUGCCCGAUGGAGGGGGAUAACUACUGGAAACGGUAGCUAAUACCGCAUAACGUCGCAAGACCAAAGAGGGGGACCUUCGGGCCUCUUGCCAUCGGAUGUGCCCAGAUGGGAUUAGCUAGUAGGUGGGGUAACGGCUCACCUAGGCGACGAUCCCUAGCUGGUCUGAGAGGAUGACCAGCCACACUGGAACUGAGACACGGUCCAGACUCCUACGGGAGGCAGCAGUGGGGAAUAUUGCACAAUGGGCGCAAGCCUGAUGCAGCCAUGCCGCGUGUAUGAAGAAGGCCUUCGGGUUGUAAAGUACUUUCAGCGGGGAGGAAGGGGUUAAGGUUAAUACCUUAGCCAUUGACGUUACCCGCAGAAGAAGCACCGGCUAACUCCGUGCCAGCCGCCGCCGUAA
rnacentral:rRNA from 1 species